CCGACUGCUAUUUGGGUGAGACUAAGCCAUGCGAGUUGAAUGGAAUACCUAAAUUUUCCAUAGCAAACUGCUCAGUAACACAUGAUCAACUUGCCCUAUGGAGAAAAAUAACCUCGGGAAACUGAGGAUAAUGUUUCACAGUUGAGAAGGCUUGGAAAAGUUUUUCAAUGAAAGGAGUAAGGAAAUGGUCCUUACUUGCCAUAGGAUAGGAUCGUGGGCGAUUAUGGUUGUUGGUGAGGUAACGGCUCACCAAGCCGAUAAUCGCUAGGGGCCGUGAGAGCGGGAGCCCCGAGAUGGGUACUGAGACAGCGACCCAGGCCUUACGAGGCGCAGCAGGCGCGGAACCUCCGCAAUACACGAAAGUGUGACGGGGUUACCCAAAGUGUCCAAUUUUGGACUGUGGUAGGUGAGUAAUGUUCCCUACUAGAAAGGAGAGGGCAAGGCUGGUGCCAGCCGCCGCGGUAAAACCAGCUCUUCAAGUGGUCGGGAUAAUUAUUGGGCUUAAAGUGUCCGUAGCCGGUUUAGUAAGUUCCUGGUAAAAUCGGGUAGCUUAACUAUCUGCAUGCUAGGAAUACUGCUAUACUAGAGGGCGGGAGAGGUCUGAGGUACUACAGGGGUAGGGGUGAAAUCUUAUAAUCCUUGUAGGACCACCAGUGGCGAAGGCGUCAGACUGGAACGUGCCUGACGGUGAGGGACGAAAGCCAGGGGAGCGAACCGGAUUAGAUACCCGGGUAGUCCUGGCCGUAAACGAUGCAUACUAGGUGAUGGCACGGCCAUGAGCCGUGUCAGUGCCGAAGGGAAACCGUUAAGUGUGCCGCCUGGGAAGUACGGUCGCAAGGCUAAAACUUAAAGGGAUUGGCGGGGGAGCACCACAAGGGGUGAAGCCUGCGGUUCAAUUGGAUUCAACGCCGGGAAGGG
rnacentral:rRNA from 1 species